AAAAAAACAGUCACCGCAACACACGAGCAACACAGGAGAGUAAACCAGCGUAACCUGAGCGCCAGAGAACCAGGACAUUCCUCAGUGCCAUGGGGUGCCAGUGCCGCGCCUCUACCCGCCCUGGCACGGUAUCACGCAGUUCAAAGCUUAAUAGUUUUGACAUACAGAAAUAAAAUGAAAUAAAUGUAAACGAUAAUUAUUCGUGUGCAUUCGUGUGUUAGUCCGCCACUUUCCCGCGGCUCCUACUGCUUGCGUGCGGACGUGCGUGCAGUGAUGGCGUACUGGGACGGCAACCUUUCGUGCGUGCUGUGUCUCAUCCUCACCAGCACUCUGCUCGUGCUCAUCCUGUACGCCCUCUUCAUGGUAGUCGUCUUUACUACUGCCAGUGAAGGAACACACACACACACACACACACACACACACACACACACACACACACACACACUCAC